GUUCUAAAUACCGAACAAUAUUUAUGCAUAGUUUGUUGCAUCGAUUGUCUAAGCUCGACAACAGGGAUGCAACCUUUUGCAUAACGAGUCGCAUCGAAUCGACAAAUUGAUUGUUCACCUAUAUCCUUGAUUCAAUUGACCAGGAAUAUCAUCGUGCCGUUCACCAGGUCGAGUAAGGCAAUCAAUUUGAUCGGCAAUUGCUUUACCAAAAACGAUGAUUUCUAAUAAACUGUUAGCUCCAAGUCUAUUGGCACCAUGAACAGAUGCACAUGCAGUUUCACCAGCUGCCCAUAAUCCAUCUAUCACACUAUCUUCUUCAUUUUCACGCGUUAAUACCUGUUUUAUAUAAGUCAUCCGCGUCAUAGAUAUUCAUUUAUACGUUUUCAAGUUUAUCUAAAGUUCAUUAAAUCGUUUAAACAAAUUCUAACUUGAGCUCGCCAAUUCGUAGGUAUGCCACCCAUAUUGUAAUGGACCGUUGGUAUGACCGGUAUGGAAUCUUUCGUAACGUCAACGCCAGAAAAUACCCACGCCAAAUGUGAGAUACCUGGUAACUUGCUUUGUAUCGUUUCAAUCGGUAAAUGAUUUAGUUGAAGAUGCACAUGAUCUUUCUUUGGACCUACACCUCUAUAUACAAAGAAAAGCAUAAAUGAAGAAAGAAAGAAAAUUUGCGUUUCAUGUGGAAAUAGAUGAGAAUCACCUUCCUUCGAUUAUUUCUAUGGUAAUAGCUCUGGAAACGACGUCACGUGAUGCUAAAUCCUUAGCUAUUGGGGCGUAUCUUUCCAUGAAAAAUUCACCUUGAGAGUUUACUAAUUUACCACCUUCGCCUCUACUACCUUCCGUUAUUAAUAUGCCAGUUCCAUACAUUCCUAUGGUACAAAAAAAAAAAACAUCGAAAUUAUUUAAUGUAUGAUUUAUUUUGAGAUGAUUAUUAUAACUUUUAGCAAUAAUAUAUACCUGUAGGAUGAAACUGUAUAAAUUCCAUAUCCUGUAAUGGCAAUCCUGCUCUAGAGAUCAUAGCCAUGCCAUCACCAGUGCAAGAAUGUGCACCUGUGCACGAUAAAUAACAUCUACCAGCACCACCUGAAGCUAUAACCUUAGGUAUGGAAAAUGUAAAUUAGUAUUAAUAAUAUUCAUUGGUAUAAAGAAAAGGAAAAAAAAAAAAAGAAGAAGAAGAAGAAGAUGAGCCCAAUGAAUGAGACAAGUACCGUGUGAUGAGCUCUAAAACGAUGAAGUAUACCAGUUUCCAGUUCCCAAGCAAGAAUUCCUUUGCAACACCGACCGUGCAUUAAAAGAUCAAGUGCAAAGUAUUCAACAUAAUAAUGAACGUCAUAUCGAAGGCUUUGUCCGUAUAAAGUAUGGAGAACAGCGUGUCCAGUUCUAUCUGCUACAGCACAAGUUCGAUGUGCUUGACCACCUUUUCCAAAUUUUAACGAUUGCCCACCGAAUGCACGUUGAUAAAUUUUGCCAGACUCGUUACGACUGAAUGGACAUCCUAAAGAAAUCUCAUAAAUUGCACGAGGUGCUUCUCUGGUAAGAAAGUGUAUAGCAUCCUGAUCUCCUAGCCAAUCGGAUCCUUUGACAGUGUCGUACAUAUGAUAAAGCCAGCUGUCCUCGUGUUCGCUCGCUAUCGCGGCAUUUAUACCACCUUGAGCAGCUACUGUAUGCGAUCUCGUUGGAAAGAGUUUAGUUAUUACCGCGACACGGUAUCCUUUACUCCCUAAACCAAAUGCUGCUCUUAGACCUGCACCACCUGCUCCUAAUAUCGCUACGUCAUAACAGUGAUCUAUUACUGGAUGGGCUGACAUUGACAUGAAAUUUUUUGCCACUUAUUCUCCAUGCUGACUUCGUCCACUGAUUGCAAGAGAAAAGAAUUAAAUGUGAUUAUAUUACGUAAAUUACAAUUUUUUUCUUUAAUUCUUUUUUGUUUCGUUUUGUAAGUUAUCUAAUGUAUAUAUUUUUAAUUACCCUUGAAUGAAGUGGUAUAAACUUUCUUAGAUGUCGAGCUAACAUUUUCAAGGAAUACAGAAUCUUUUUUUCUGAUACAGUCUGAUAACCUUAAUUCUAUGUUGUUAUUUUCAUUUGUUAAUAUUAACAAAGAAAAUACGAGCAUUUAUUAUGUUACUCUCGAAAAAUUUUACAGACGAGAUUGAGAAAGUGAAAUAAAUGAAA